UCUGCUCCACUUGAGCCACAUGCAGCAAACACUGCUCUCGGUCUCCUGUGUUUGUCUCUGUGCCAAACGAGGUCACACCAGAAGUCGCUGUCUGAAGACAAAGUUGGGCUUCAAUGGCUGAAGUGUGCUGCCGGCCUAUUUGGUGUCGAUGGCUCCAGUGAUCACCAUCAAGAAACGUUCAAACGAUGCAGUGAAGAAGAAGCAACCAACUACAGUGGAGCUGACCUUCGACCUCAGACUGUUCUUCCUCUCCUCUCCAAAUCAUUUGCCCGCAGAGUUUAUCUCCUCCAGUCGACUCGUUGGCUCCUGAUUCACUCAGAGAGAGAGAGCAGCUUCUCCAUCGGCCUCACAGACCUGAGUGGCUUCAAGUCAUCUCGCCUUUUGUUUUGAAAAGGUCACGACAACAUCUACACCACCAACAACUACGGGCAGAAAUACAGAGCUCCCACCAACUUCUGCUUCACGCUAAAGUCUUUUUUUUUUGUUGAUGAGGAGAAGAAGAGAUGGAUGUUCUUGAAAGGAGGGAGGAGUUGGUCUGCUGGUCUACAGUCUGUGGAGCAUUUUGGCAUAACCAUGCUACACUGCCUCAUCUGUUCAAAGUGUGGUAAUACUUCACUGUCGGAUCGACUGCUACUACAGAGUAUUAGGCCACGUAAAGGAAAAGAAUCUGAGAUCAAGAGAAUUAAGUUGUAAUAGGAAAAAAUUGUAGUAUUACAAGAUUAAUGUCAUAACAUUUCAAAUAAAAAUCUUAAUAUCCAUGAAUACAGUUGUAAUGUUACGAGGGAAGUUGUAUUAUUACAAGAAUAAAAUCUUUGUCGAGGAGAAAAUGUUUAUUAGUGAUUGACUGCAAGGUUUUUUAUAUGAUAUUCGGAGGGAUUUCAAUUUUCAAGAACCACUGAGAUUGGUACAAGACUUUGGAUUCUCCUUACUGCUUUUUCCUUCAAUAAAAAAGGUGUUUUUCCUUGAAAUAUUA